rnacentral:rRNA from 1 species
UGGAUCCAGACUUUGAUCCUGGCUCAGGACGAACGCUGGCGGCGUGCCUAACACAUGCAAGUCGAACGAAGCUUGACGGUAGAUUUCUUCGGAAUGAAGCCUGAUAUGACUUAGUGGCGGACGGGUGAGUAACACGUGAGCAACCUGCCUUUCAGAGAGGAAUAACGGCUGGAAUCGGUCGCUAAUACCUCAUAAUGUAUAUUUAAGGCAUCUUAGAUAUACCAAAGAUUUAUCGCUGAAAGAUGGGCUCGCGUCUGAUUAGAUAGUUGGUGAGGUAAUGGCUCACCAAGUCGACGAUCAGUAGCCGGACUGAGAGGUUGAACGGCCACAUUGGGACUGAGACACGGCCCAGACUCCUACGGGAGGCAGCAGUGGGGAAUAUUGCACAAUGGGCGCAAGCCUGAUGCAGCAACGCCGCGUGAGGGAAGACGGUUUUCGGAUUGUAAACCUUUGUCUUUGGUGAAGAAGAAAGUGACGGUAACCAAGGAGGAAGCCACGGCUAACUACGUGCCAGCAGCCGCGGUAAUACGUAGGUGGCAAGCGUUGUCCGGAAUUACUGGGUGUAAAGGGAGCGCAGGCGGGACUGCAAGUUGGAUGUGAAAUACCGAGGCUCAACCUCGGGGCUGCAUCCAAAACUGUAGUUCUUGAGUGAAGUAGAGGUAGGCGGAAUUCCGAGUGUAGCGGUGAAAUGCGUAGAUAUUCGGAGGAACACCAGUGGCGAAGGCGGCCUACUGGGCUUUAACUGACGCUGAGGCUCGAAAGUGUGGGGAGCAAACAGGAUUAGAUACCCUGGUAGUCCACACUGUAAACGAUGAUAGCUAGGUGUGGGGGGUCUGACCCCUUCCGUGCCGGAGUUAACGCAAUAAGCUAUCCACCUGGGGAGUACGGCCGCAAGGUUGCAACUCAAAUGA